rnacentral:rRNA from 1 species
CUGGUAGUCCACGCCCUAAACGAUGUACACUAGUUGUUGUGAGGCUCGACCUUGCAGUAAUGCAGUUAACACAUUAAGUGUACCGCCUGGGGAGUACGGUCGCAAGAUUAAAACUCAAAGGAAUAGACGGGGACCCGCACAAGCGGUGGAGCAUGUGGUUUAAUUCGACGAUACACGAAGAACCUUACCUGGACUUGACAUAGUAAGAACUUUCUAGAGAUAGAUUGGUGUCUGCUUGCAGAAACUUAUAUACAGGUGCUGCACGGCUGGCGUCAGCUCGUGUCGUGAGAUGUUGGGUUAAGUCCCGCAACGAGCGCAACCCUCGUCAUUAGUUGCUAACAGUUCGGCUGAGAACUCUAAUGAGACUGCCUACGCAAGUAGGAGGAAGGUGAGGACGACGUCAAGUCAUCAUGGCCCUUACGGGUAGGGCUUCACACGUCAUACAAUGGUCGGUACAGAGGGUUGCCAAGCCGCGAGGUGGAGCCAAUCCCUUAAAGCCGAUCGUAGUCCGGAUCGUAGUCUGCAACUCGACUACGUGAAGUCGGAAUCGCUAGUAAUCGCAGAUCAGCAUGCUGCGGUGAAUACGUUCCCGGGUCUUGUACACACCGCCCGUCACACCAUGGGAGUGGGUUUCACCAGAAGUAGGUAGCUUAGCCUUCGGGAGGGCGCUUACCACGGUGAGAUCUACUAGUGUGUGUGAGUCUCGACCAGGUCCCCGGGCUAAACCCUGUUUCUUUUCUGUUCUCCUUCGUUUACCGAGUAUUGAUAUACUCGUCAUCUCUCAUC